GACGAACGCUGGCGGCGUGCUUAACACAUGCAGGUCGAACGGAAAGGCCCUGCUUUUGUGGGGUGCUCGAGUGGCGAACGGGUGAGUAACACGUGAGUAACCUGCCCUUGACUUUGGGAUAACUUCAGGAAACUGGGGCUAAUACCGGAUAGGAGCUCCUGCUGCAUGGUGGGGGUUGGAAAGUUUCGGCGGUUGGGGCUGGACUCGCGGCUUAUCAGCUUGUUGGUGGGGUAGUGGCUUACCAAGGCUUUGACGGGUAGCCGGCCUGAGAGGGUGACCGGCCACAUUGGGACUGCGAUACGGCCCAGACUCCUACGGGAGGCAGCAGUGGGGAAUAUUGCACAAUGGGCGGAAGCCUGAUGCAGAAACGCCGCGUGCGGGAUGACGGCCUUCGGGUUGUAAACCGCUUUCGCCUGUGACGAAGCGUGAGUGACGGUAAUGGGUAAAGAAGCACCGGCUAACUACGUG
rnacentral:rRNA from 1 species